UGCCAGGACCUGUCUCUCAGGCCGGCUCUUUAUUAAAAUCAUACCUUAGUCCGACAGAGAGCUGGGAAUCCAUGGAAAGCUGUUCCAAUAAAACUUAGUAAGCCCCUGAGGAAUAAAAAGGAUGGUGCAAGUAUUCCUCCAACAGGAGGUAUCAAAAGAGGGAAACAAGCCACAUCUCCCUUUCAUCCAGGAAGCUCCGAGGAGGUAUCUGGUAUCUGGAGGUUCUCGAUGUCUCAGCUGGGGUGGGAGAAAAUGGUGACCAGCCAAUGCCCAGUGAGAACAGCUUUCCCCAGCCGAACUAGGGCAACAGCAGAAGCGGAGAAAACUGUCAAAAAUUCAUGCCUUUUGAAUCAGUUUGAUCACUGCGAUCAUAAUUUAGAAACUUUUAAUGGAAAAGAGAACACAAAUGAAAUGGCCCCUCUGCCAACAUUUCUUGGGCUUCAUCGUUAAUGACUUAAAAUACAGUUACAAGGUUCAAGUGGUAAGUUGGCAGACUUGGAAGCAGUAUGGCAUCCCAGGCCAGUCCCUCUCCUUUCGAAGCCUGGAGAUGAUUUCAAAAGAGAAAAAGAAAGACAGAAAUAACCAGAUGUCAGAGGAGCCACUCCAAACAUGGACCAAUCACUGCCUUGCCCCAAAAUACAGAUUUUCAAAAUAAUGCUUCAUUGGAAGGCAGGUUGGAAAAGAGGAAAAUGACUGAUUUCUGAGGGGAAAAAAAGUAGUGCUCACUCAGUCAAAUCAUGAGCAACCCUGUCAUAAUUAAGGAAAAUGUGAAGUUUAGAUCUUGAAUCAUGCUCAAGAAAAUCUAUUUCUUAUAAGAAUCACAGAUUUUCUGUCUUCUCUUCUCCUCACCAACUCCCUUCAAGAGAAAGUAAGCAAUUUCUUGAAGGAGGUUUGCAAAAAAAAAAAAAAAAGAUAAUAAUAAUAAUACAGAAAGAUUUUGAAUAUUUGGAGAUUUCAUGAAAAUCAUGUGCUAACAGCUCUAACUUCUCAAGAGCAGUGAGCUUUGCCCCUGAGAAAACAUUAUUUUCAUCACACCACUGGCUCCAGCUAAAAUGCUGGUUUUGACAAGCUGUGCUCCUGGUAAAAUGUUAUUGUUGGCACAUGUGGAUGGUGGGGAGACAGCUUUGGGAGGCUCCCUCUCGAGUGGAGAUGUGCAAAUUGACUACAGCACCUGUGGGAGAGUCAGGUACCUCUGACCCAGAUUUGCUCUGUUUUCUAGCACCCUGUCCCUUUGUUCUGUAAUGAGAGCCAAAUGUUCCCUUUCUCCAGUCCCUCCGGCCCUGUAACUUGACGCCUGAUCAGCCUCAAACGGGCCUCCUCUCCCAUCCCCAUUCCUAGGCCCUGUUGCUACCAUUGGCCUGAAAUUGAAAAGGGGUUUAAAAAAAGCCCAACGUUCUCCUGAGUGUCAUGCUAACCCUCUCUGCUCCCUGUGUUCUGAGAUAGCUGUGCUCUGAUGACUCUUUUUAUAGUGAACCAGAGCGUUUGCAGGUCAGGUAUGCAAGCGAGACUUUUAUUCGUUUAUUUUUACAGAGAGUCAUCGAUAUUUUUGGGGCAGGAGAUAACUCUUCUCUCUAAUGAAAAGUCCACUGAAUUUCAUCAUGCUGCAUAGAACUCAUAGCAGGAAAUGGCUAGCCUGACUGGGCUCACUGAUGCUGCAUUGUAAGCCCGUGUUUUCCUGGCCAUUUCUCCUUCCAUUUCAAUAAAGGCACAGGGAAGUGAAAUCCUUACAAUGUGCCAGAGCAGUUUGUGCCAUGCUCCAAAGUACAUCUGAAAUUGUCAGGCUGUGGCUUGAUGUGAUUUAGAAAGUUUAUCCUUUACCUAAGCCCACCUCCCCAUCUGACCCAAAGCCGGUGCCCACAUAGAGAUCAAUCAACCGCUCUUCUACUCAGCAAACAACCAGGGCUCUGCCCUGAAAUCAAAGCAAGUGUUAGGAAGGUUGCAGCAAAAAACGUAGGGAGUCAUAAAUGCUGUGUGCAGACAACCUGUGUUAAGGGUUCUUAACACUGGCCAUGCCACCCCUAACCCAACCUGCCUUCAAUCUGAUCAGUUAAAUUGGCCUGAAAAGUUCAAGACCUUUACUUCUGCUACUUUUAAACAAGACCACAAGAAAUUUGGUCUCAGAUCUGUCAAACUAGGCCCUACUUUUCUAGGCGUCCCCACCUUCCAUUUCUGUUGACUCCCAUAGAAAUGUUAUAUUAUUGUUGUUGUAAUGUCAUGUAUUUUUGAAAGAUUACCUCUCUGCCAGGGCAAAGAGUUAGACUAAAGUAGAAGAAACCACUCUGGUUUCAGUAUUCCGGGUGAAGAGGAAGAGUCAAAUUUAAGAGCUAUUUGGAAUGGAGAUGUUGAAUAUAGUCAUGAUUUAUUAAACCACAGGCACUGUGCUAAGCACUUUACAUGCAUUAUCUAAUUUACUCCAAACCACAAUCCUAUGACAUAAAAACUAUCUUAGCCCUGCUUUGUAGAUGAGGAAAUUCAGGUGUAGAGAAAGAUGAAGAACUUCCCUAUGCCAAUGCAUGACUAAGCUGGGAUUUACAUUAAAGUCUCCCUAAUUCUGAAGCUCAGAUUCUUAACAGAAAUGCUGAACAGGAUUUGGUAAUUGAUCAGAUGCUGGGAAGAGAGACAGAUCUUGGGGUCAGAGUAAAGAUACUGUACUGAGCCUAGAAAUAUGAAUCAAGAUUCAUAAUUAUACACAGAGCGAAAAAGUGACUUUGGCAAUCUAGAUCAACUCGGCAAUUUUACAGAUGAGAAAACUGAGGAUCAGAGGUGACCUAAUCUAUGCAUGGUCACAUAAGUGUAAUAUUAGCAGAGCUCAAGCUGGAAACCAACUCCUCCAAGUCCUAGGCUGUGUUUUUCCACUUUUUCCAUUUGUUUGGCAUUUUGAGCAUCUUUAGUCUGCUAAUUUCUUUUCAAACGUUUUAACUAAAAACAGAACAUUGUAUCCAUAAACAAGUCUUUAUAGCACAGGAAUUUCUAUACCUGCUAUUUGUAGGUACAACUGAUCAUCUCACCUCUGCUUCUGUGUCAUUUUCAAGUGCCAGCUAUCAGGCCAGAAGGAGGAAAUAUUCAAGUAUCAGACACUGAGGUCCCUGAAACAAAUGAACCAGCUAGCUGGCUGCUUGGAAUAUUUUGUUCAGAGUCUCCAGAAAAAUUAGGUGAAAUAAAAGAAAACUUUAAAAUCCAAUGUUUUGUUUUCCAAUGUAAAUUCCAUGUUAAACAUUUUCUGUGCCUUUCAGAUUUGUUGGGGGUUGGAGGUCAGUAAGUGUGGCCUGCCUGACUCAUGUGGGACAAAUUAGCCACCUAUGCCUUUCCCCUGACUAAACCACCAAAUUUCUAAUUAAAGGCGAAUAAGAGUUUGUGUGCACUUGUUGUGGGUAAACACUAAUUUACUUGGCCUGUGUUUGGGUGCCCUGUUCUGGGCAAGAAGCUUUAUUUGUGUACACUUAUUUAAUUUUCACAAUUAUUAUAUCCAUUUUUCAGAUAAGGAAACUGAAGAUAAGAAAUAGGUUUGUCUUUUUUUUGUUCAAGUUGAUACAGCUAAGUGGAAAAUAUCCUGAUGUCAGUUCAUCUGCUCCCUAAAGCCCCCAAUCUUUCCACCACAACAUGCCUCCCUUCAUUUGCACUUGUUCAAAGGCCCACAGCGCAAAGUCUAAACUGUGAAGAGGACACAUGACCCUCUCAUGGCCCAGCCCCUGUCUGUACCUCCUCCCUCCUCUCUCCCCACUCUCUAGAAGCAAACACCCUACAUGUAGCCACCGGGGACAAUUUCCCUCAUCUUCCCAGCAGUCCCAGGCCUUAUAGCCUUUUUUUCCCUCUUCCUGGAAGUCUCUCUCCUCACCAAAUGUACAGCUCUCUUACAGAUAAUCAAGGAAAUGAAAAACAUAAUGCAUGUUUAAUCUAGAUCAGCCUCUUUUACUUCUAGAAGACUCUGGCUUUUCUCCACUAUAUUAUUUUUCUUGGUUUCAGACUCAGUAUAAAACUAUGUGACUGCAAAUAGAAGACUUUUCAAUGCACACUCA